UACGGAGGGUGCAAGCGUUAUCCGGAUUCACUGGGUUUAAAGGGUGCGUAGGAGGUCAGGUAAGUCAGUGGUGAAAUCCCCGAGCUUAACUUGGGAACUGCCGUUGAUACUAUCUGUCUUGAAUAUUGUGGAGGUGAGCGGAAUAUGUCAUGUAGCGGUGAAAUGCUUAGAUAUGACAUAGAACACCAAUUGCGAAGGCAGCUCGCUACACAUAUAUUGACUCUGAGGCACGAAAGCGUGGGGAGCAAACAGG
rnacentral:rRNA from 1 species